GAGAUACUAGUCCAACCAAGACAACC
rnacentral:tRNA from 1 species